CGUUUAUGGUGUACUGUUUUAAAAUUUAACAUCAAAUUAGAGUACUUUCCUUUAGUUUUUAGACCUAUGUUUUUGAAUCAGCAAUGUAGCUAUGAUUUUGUAAUAAAAACAGCAAAAGGGUGAGGGGGGGGGGGAAUGCGGCAAAUAGCGCCGUUAAAAUGAACAUCAUGGAAGUUUAUAAUAAGUAUCUAAAAUUACAUUUUGAAAUUCACCAUCUGAAAAAAGAUGCUUAUCAAAGUAUCAAGGAACAAUUUUUUCAAAAAAUGAAUGAUCUUAAAGGUCCACCUUGCAAUAACGAGAAUGUACCAAUGGACUACCAGUAUUUCUUUUUCAGACCUAAAGAUUUUUCAUUGGAAAAUGUUGCUUAUGAUGAAAAGGAAUCAUGUGUCAAUUUAUAACACAAAAAGAAGAGACGUUAUUCAAUGGACUGGGUGAUUUGAUGUGGAAAUACCCUCUAGAGUUUCGUUACUUUUUUCUCAACUGAUGACCUCAUCAAAAGAGCGGAUAAAAUAAAAGAAACGAUAAUGUUUUUGGAAAAUAUGGACUUGAAUGAAACAAAUGCUUUUUUAAAAAAUUUUGAAAGCAGUUUAUGUAAAAAUGGCGAACUGAACACUCCAAAAUUGAAAAAAAAAAGAAAAAAUUACCAAACUCAAACCAAGCUUAAUUAUUUAAGAGAAGAUGAGCUGCAGAUAUCUGAUUUAGUAAGUAGAAGAUAUGAUAAGUACGAUGAAAAAGUUUUGGAUGACUAACCUGAUUGCAUUUUUGGUUGUGUUAUAGAUUUUUAUUUAAUUUGAUUUUGUAUUAUAUAAUUUAUUGAAUAAAAAUAUUAAAUAUUUAGUAACUGUA